rnacentral:lncRNA from 1 species
GUGAUGUGGAUGCCGCUCUGUACACCUGGCUGGGAGAGGGGAGGGCAGGGAUUACGCUUACCCUCUGGGCUUGCUGGAGGGGUGCAUGUGGCCCCACUGCUGGGGAGCCCCAUAUGGUGAGGUUGGGGUAUUUACCAGGCCUCAGUCUCCGGGGAGGGCCUUCCUGCCCCAGGGUGGGGACUUAGCCCGUCACCAGGACACUCAGGAAGGACAGGGUGUCUGGAGCCGUCGCCAGGAUCUUGCACCUGAGGCCAUGACGGAGCACAGCAGGGCCUCGGAUCCACUGAGCGUGGAUGGCACGGCCGGUGGUCUCGAUGAGCCCGGAGUGGCCUCUGAUGGACUCCCGUCCUCGGAGCCAGGGCCGUGUUCCUUCCAGCAGCUGGAUGAGUCCCCCGUUGUACCCCUGUCCCAUCGGCCCCCAGCCCUGGCCGACCCAGCCUCAUACCAGCCAGCUGUCACUGCUCCGGAGCCAGACGCCAGCCCAAGGCUGGCCGUGGACUUCGCCCUGCCCAAGGAGCUGCCCCUUAUCUCCAGCCAUGUGGACCUGAGCGGGGAUCCGGAGGAGACUGUGGCCCCUGCACAGGUGGCUUUGUCGGUCACCGAGUUUGGACUCAUCGGCAUUGGGGACGUGAACCCCUUCCUGGCCGCCCACCCCACGUGCCCGGCCCCCGGGCUACACUCGGAGCCCCUGUCACACUGUAACGUGAUGACCUGCUGACUCCUGGCCGCGGGCGGCGUAUGCGGCCCAGACUGGACUUAGCGCUGCCGCUGGGCCCGCCUCUGUCAGUCUUCCUGACCCCUUCCCCACCCCCUGGGCCUUGGGGUAGCACCUCCUUCUGCUUCAGAACACGUCAGGACUGGGGUGAGGUGGCUGGGCCGUGAGCCCUCGCCCCUGUCCACACAGAAUGGAC